CCCCAGCUUUUUUUUUUUUUUUUUUUUGACACAAGUUCUUGCUGAAUCACUAAAUUGCUCAGACUGGGCUCAAACUUGUGAUCCUUCUGCUUGUCCUUCCUGAGUGCUGGAGUUCCAGGUGUGCUACACCCACCACAUGCAGCCAAAAGCAGUAUCUUCCGAGAGUCCUAGAAGUACCUCAAAAGGAGAUGAUCUGGAAAGAAUACUUACGAGGCUCUGACCCCCUGACUUUGGCUGGUGCAAGACCACAGAUUUCAAGGGUGAAAGCCAACUCCUGGAACCGGAAGUCAGCCUCUUCACCUUCCAGCCUAGAGCCUCUGACCGUAUUUGCCGGACCUUCACCUCUACGCCUGAGGCCACCAGACGGGUUUAGAUGAAAGACCUUUGAAUCCGAGCGCUCCGUCCGGGGUUGUUCUUGGACUGGCGACUAAAUCAUGUGGAAACUUGGAAAAAGGCAGCCUUUCUCCUUGUCUACCCUUAGCUCAGUGGUGCAGCCGCCUGUCUCGCAAGGGCCAGGUCUCGAGUUUGAUCCCCAAAGUCAGAAGUCACAUUUUAUCCAGGUGUGGUGACCCAGUUUCAAAGUAAGAACGAUCAAGUGCGGAGCCUGGGGAAUGUCACUCAGUGGUAGAGCGCUUGCCUAACAAGCCCGGGCCUCAGCACCCCAACCCCCAC
rnacentral:lncRNA from 1 species